AGAGGAAAUGCUGGCCCUGGUAAUGGCCCUAGUGCUGGUCCCUACGGACCUUACGGUAAUCAAGGCCCGAAUGCCGUCAUCAUUAACAACAAAUCACCUUCAUCUGGUCCAUCAGCUUCCGCUGCAGCCUCAGCUGCAGCCGCUUCUGGGCCACAAGGCCAAAAUAACGGUCCUCUUGGAAACGGACCUGGUAAUGGCGCAGGACAAGGUGGCGUAACUGUCAUCAACGAUAACGGAUCUGGUUCAGGUUCUUCAAGCGCAAGCGCAGCAAGCGCUGCAGCUUCUGGUCCUAAUGGAGGA